CCUACGGGAGGCAGCAGUGAGGAAUAUUGGUCAAUGGACGAGAGUCUGAACCAGCCACGUAGCGUGAAGGAUGACUGCCCUAUGGGUUGUAAACUUCUUUUAUAUGGGAAUAAAAUGUUCCACGUGUGGGAUUUUGUAUGUACCAUAUGAAUAAGGAUCGGCUAACGCCGUGCCAGCAGCCACGGUAAUACGGAGGAUCCGAGCGUUAUCCGGAUUUAUUGGGUGUAAAGGGAGCGUAGGUGGACUGUUAAGUCAGUUGUGAAAGUUUGCGGCUCAACCGUAAAAUUGCAGUUGAAACUGGCAGUCUUGAGUAUAGUAGAGGUGGGCGGAAUUCGUGGUGUAGCGGUGAAAUGCGUAGAUAUCACGAAGAACUCCGAUUGCGAAGGCAGCUCACUGGACUGCAACUGACACUGAGGCUCGAAAGUGUGGGUAGCAAACAGGAUUAGAUACCCCAGUAGUC
rnacentral:rRNA from 1 species